GAGAAGGAAACAAGUUAAACAACGUCAAGAGGGUGUGAUCAGCAGAAUCCAAACCGUGGGAAACUACCCAACAAAGAGAACUGGUCCCUUCAACAACAACAACAACACAGCAAAUAGGAAAGAAGAGUAUGCACUUUAUUUGGAUCCUGAGCAAAGGAAAUAUGAAGAAAUAAAAAAGAGAGAGAUGUGUCAGAAUCCAGCCAUCAAGUUGAAAUAGGUUAAUCUGGUCUUACCACCAGCAAACAAGCCUCAGUCAUCUGGAAGAAGAUGCUGACACAAGAGGUGCUGGGAUGGGACGGUGUGUAGAAGCAAAGGAAGCCUCUCUACUCCACAGAGAAAGAAACUACGAACAGGAAAACGGAAACCUCUGUGGUUCUCUUUCAAGAGUAAGA